UACAGAGGUCUCAAGCGUUGUUCGGAUUCAUUGGGCGUAAAGGGUGCGUAGGCGGCGCGGUAAGUCGGGUGUGAAAUCUUGGAGCUUAACUCCGAAACUGCAUUCGAUACUGCCGUGCUUGAGGACUGGAGAGGAGACUGGAAUUUACGGUGUAGCGGUGAAAUGCGUAGAUAUCGUAAGGAAGACCAGUGGCGAAGGCGGGUCUCUGGACAGUUCCUGACGCUGAGGAACGAAGGCCAGGGGAGCAAACGGG
rnacentral:rRNA from 1 species